rnacentral:rRNA from 1 species
AACGAACGCUGGCGGCAUGCCUAACACAUGCAAGUCGAACGAUCCCUUCGGGGAUAGUGGCGCACGGGUGCGUAACGCGUGGGAACAUGCCCUUAGGUUCGGAAUAACUCAGAGAAAUUUGAGCUAAUACCGGAUAAUGUCUUCGGACCAAAGAUUUAUCGCCUUUGGAUGGGCCCGCGUUGGAUUAGCUAGUUGGUGGGGUAAAGGCCUACCAAGGCGACGAUCCAUAGCUGGUCUGAGAGGAUGAUCAGCCACACUGGGACUGAGACACGGCCCAGACUCCUACGGGAGGCAGCAGUGGGGAAUAUUGGACAAUGGGCGAAAGCCUGAUCCAGCAAUGCCGCGUGAGUGAUGAAGGCCUUAGGGUUGUAAAGCUCUUUUACCCGGGAUGAUAAUGACAGUACCGGGAGAAUAAGCCCCGGCUAACUCCGUG